AACGAACGCUGGCGGCACGCCUCAUACAUGCAAGUCGAGUGCGAAACCACCUUCGGGUGAUGUAAAGUGGCGAACGGGUGAGUAACAGGUGGACAACCUGCCUCUUGGUGGGGGACAACGGCCGGAAACGGCCGCUAAUACCGCACGUGAUUGCCGGCUAAUGGCCUGCAAGGAAAGGCGCCUCAAAGCGCCACCAGAAGAUGAGUCCGCCCCCCAUUAGCUAGUUGGCGGGAUAACAGCUCACCAAGGCUUCGAUGGGUAGCCGAGCUGAGAGGUUGAUCGGCCACACUGGAACUGAGAUACGGUCCAGACACCUACGGGUGGCAGCAGUAGGGAAUAUUGCGCAAUGGGCGAAAGCCUGACGCAGCCAUGCCGCGUGAGUGACGAAGGCCUUCGGGUCGUAAAGCUCUUUUAUGAGGGAAGAAUAGGUCUGCGAGGAAAUGCGCGGAUUCUGACGGUACCUCAGGAAUAAGGAGCGGCUAACUCCGUGCCAGCAGCCGCGGUAAUACGGAGGCUCCUAGCGUUGUUCGGAAUUACUGGGCGUAAAGGGAGCGCAGGCGGAUUGGUAAGUCUGAAGUGGAAUCCCGGGGCUCAACCUCGGAAGUGCUUCGGAUACUGCCAGUCUUGAGUUCGUGAGAGGAAAGCGGAAUUCAGGGUGUAGCGGUGAAAUGCUUAGAUAUCCUGAGGAACACCAAUGGCGAAAGCAGCUUUCUGGCACGUAACUGACGCUGAGGCUCGAAAGCGUGGGUAGCGAACGGGAUUAGAUACCCCGGUAGUCCACGCCGUAAACGUUGUCAACUAGGUGCGGGGGGUAUCGACCCCUUCCGUGCCGCAGCUAACGCAUUAAGUUGACCGCCUGGGGAGUACGCGCGCAAGCGUGAAACUCAAAGGAAUUGACGGGGGCCCGCACAAGCGGUGGAGCAUGUGGUUUAAUUCGAGGCAACGCGAAGAACCUUACCCAGGCUUGACAUCUCAGGAAUCCUCUGGAAACAGAGGAGUGCCUUUCGGGGAGCCCCAAGACAGGUGCUGCAUGGCUGUCGUCAGCUCGUGCUGUGAGGUGUCGGGUUAAGUCCCAUAACGAGCGCAACCCCUAUCCUUAGUUGCCAGCGAGUAAUGUCGGGGACUCUAGGGAAACUGCCGGUGCAAACCGAGAGGAAGGUGGGGAUGACGUCAAAUCAGCACGGCCCUUACGUCCAGGGCUACACACGUGUUACAAUGGCCGAUACAGAGGGCAGCUACCUGGUGACAGGAUGCAAAUCUCGAAAGUCGGUCUCAGUUCGGAUCGGAGUCUGCAACUCGACUCCGUGAAGGUGGAUUCGCUAGUAAUCGCGUAUCAGCAAUGACGCGGUGAAUACGUUCCCGGGCCUUGUACACACCGCCCGUCAAGCCAUGGAAGCUGGGGGUACCUGAAGUCUGUAACCGCAAGGAGCGGCCUAGGGUAAAACUGGUAACUAGGGCU
rnacentral:rRNA from 1 species